rnacentral:misc_RNA from 1 species
AAGUCGUAACAAGGUCUCCGUAGGUGAACCUGCGGAGGGAUCAUUAACACGUUUUCUUAACGUUUAACUAUUUCCACCAACCGCGUGAAUUUACUUGAAUCAACUAUUCGACCUGACAGGCUGAGACUCUGCUUGAAUUGCACGGAGUGAUGAGUGUUGUUAACGCAACACUGGUGCUUUCAAGCUGGUACCGCAGUGUGAGCAAUUGCAUUGACAGUACAAGACCUCUUCCUUUUAGGCUUUCAACCCAAUGUUCCCUUCAUCGCUGGAACGCAAAAACCAUUUUCACCACUUAUAAACAACUAGACUGAUAUGCUCGUUCGUGUGGAAACGCACUAUACGGCAACAAAUUAAUCAAAUAUCUAAGCACAUCUCUUAGCAACGGAUAUCUUGGUUCUC